rnacentral:rRNA from 1 species
CGAGUUUGAUCAUGGCUCAGAUUGAACGCUGGCGGAAUGCUUUACACAUGCAAGUCGAGCGGCAGCGCGGGGCAACCUGGCGGCGAGCGGCGAACGGGUGAGUAAUGCAUCGGAACAUGUCCAUGUCGUGGGGGAUAGCCCGGCGAAAGCCGGAUUAAUACCGCAUACGCUCGGGAGAGGAAAGCCGGGGACCGCAAGGCCUGGCGCGAUUGGGUUGGCCGAUGUCCGAUUAGCUUGUUGGUGAGGUAAAGGCUUACCAAGGCGAUGAUCGGUAGCUGGUCUGAGAGGAUGAUCAGCCACACUGGGACUGAGACACGGCCCAGACUCCUACGGGAGGCAGCAGUGGGGAAUUUUGGACAAUGGGGGCAACCCUGAUCCAGCCAUUCCGCGUGAGUGAAGAAGGCCUUCGGGUUGUAAAGCUCUUUUGUCCGGAGCGAAACGGGCGCGGCUAAUACCUGCGUCCACUGACGGUACCGGAAGAAUAAGCACCGGCUAACUACGUG